AUUGAACGCUGGCGGCAGGCCUAACACAUGCAAGUCGAGCGUGCGGCGGGCGGGUGAGUAAUGUCUGGGAACCUGCCUGUUGGAGGGGGAUAACUAGUGGAAACGGUAGCUAAUACCGAAUACCAUACGAUGUGCCCAGAUGGGAUUUGCUAGUCGGUGGGGUAACGGCCCACCUGGGCGACGAUCCCUAGCUGGUCUGCUAGGAUGACCACCCACACUGGAACUGAGACACGGUCCAGACUCCUACGGGAGGCAGCAGUGGGGAAUAUGGCACAAUGGGCGCAAGCCUGAUGCAGCCAUGCCGCGUGUGGGAAGAAGGCCUUCGGGUUGUAAAGCACUGUCAGCGGGGAGGCGUUACCCGCAGAAGAAGCACCGGCUAACUCCGUGCCAGCCGCCGCGGUAAUAC
rnacentral:rRNA from 1 species